UUAUCAAUCUCUGUUGUUAAAGAUUCAGCUCCAAGUCCCCAAGCUGAGCAAGUGCUGUCAACAUCCACAGCUGAACAACCUUUAUCUCCUUUGAUGGCGCCACCUCUUUCCCAGCCUCCCUCCCCGGUCAUGAUGCCAGUAACGCAAGCAGAGACUUCAGUUUCCAGCAGUCAAGAGUCAACUCAAGAGCAUCAAUUAGCUAGUGCCAAUGGACCAGAUUGCUCAUCUCCAGCUCCUGCCUCGAAAUCUCCGCCUCCAUCACCAAGCACAUCUCCCGCCCGCUCUCCAUCCCCUCCAAGUCAGCCCCCCCUCAUUCUGCAGCCAUUAGCUUCUCCGCUGCAGGUGGGAGUCCCACCCAUGCCUCUUCCAAUCAUCUUGAACCCUGCAUUGAUCGAGGCCACAUCUCCUGUGCCACUGCUUCCUGGGUCCAAACCUGCUAGUCCCACUGAUGAGUUCCAGUAACAGAAGUUCACCUGACUUAAGGCUCACUACGUCCAUGGCAGGAGAGCCAACUGCUUCACAUAUUAGAGUGUUGCAGCUUGUUUAGGUGUACAUAAGGGACACUGUUCAAAUGUGCAGGUUGUUUGGUUUGUGCUCUUUCUGUGUGUAUUUUCUAAUCCUAUUGAAUGAAAUACUAACAGACAGUUGUGUAGUAAACUCACUCUGAUGCAGGAUUAUGGCACUCAAAAAACAAAAGUUUUUGGGUAUUUUGUUCUGUCCACACAAUCCACACAAACAUAAUUUACUUGCUGUUUUCCAACUGUUUUAAAGUUAUGACAUCAUGCGUAUUUUAGACUGAGACAAUAAAAUUAACAGACUGAG